AGUCAUACAAGGAAGAUACUUAUACGUUUGUUUCUACUAUAAGGAAGCGAUUUGAAGAAUAUGAUAUAAGUUAGAGAGUAGAAAUAUGGCAUGAUGAUCUAUAGAAUCAAUUUUUAUGUCUCAUUCUAUAAAUUUGAGAUAGGCUUAUUUGUGAACUUGAAAAAAUAGUGGAAUAUUAAAUUCAGCAUAAUCCAUUAAGUAGAUUGUAAUUCCUCUAAAAUAUGGCCCGUAACUAAAAUUGGUCAUUUGGGAAAUUAAAAGGAAUUUAAGUUUAUUUGUAUCGUAAAAGAUUAGACAAAUAUUUAGACAUCAUGGACGUAUCCUUAUCAAAUUCAUUUUGACCCGAUCUUGCUCGAACAAAGGCUAGAAAAAAAAGAGAUCUAAAAAAAAACCGCGCCACUUGUCCUGUCAAAAGCAGAGUAAUGGAUGGCCGGUGCGCAAUCAGCAGGCGAAAACGACGAUGAUAUAUUAAUAUCUGUGUCAAGCAGAGGAUUGCAUCAGUUGUCGGCAAAUAGUCGCUGCAAACGACAAUUCAAAAAGGUCCCGAAGAUAAGAUGCUGUACUUUCAGAGGGCGAGUAUAUAUGUCUGCU
rnacentral:lncRNA from 1 species